UACGGGGGGGGCAAGCGUUGUUCGGAAUUACUGGGCGUAAAGGGCUCGUAGGCGGCCAACUAAGUCAGACGUGAAAUCCCUCAGCUUAACUGGGGAACUGCGUCUGAUACUGGAUGGCUUGGAUUCGGGAGAGGAAUGCGGAAUUCCAGGUGUAGCGGCGAAAUGCGUAGAUAUCUGGAGGAACACCGGUGGCGAAGGCGGCAUCCUGGACCGACACUGACGCUGAAAAGCGAAAGCCAGGGGAGCAAACGGG
rnacentral:rRNA from 1 species